rnacentral:rRNA from 1 species
CCUACUGGUGGCAGCAGUGGGGGAUAUUGCACAAUGGGGGAAACCCUGAUGCAGCGACGCCGCGUGAGUGAAGAAGUAUUUCGGUAUGUAAAGCUCUAUCAGCAGGGGAGAAAAUGACAGUACCUGACCAAUAAUCUCCGUCUAACUACGUGACAGCAGCCGCGGUAAUACGGAGGGGUCAAGCGUUAUCCGGAUUUACUGGGUGUAAAGGGAGCGUAGACGGUUAUGGAAGUCUGGAGUGAAAGCCCGGGGCCCAACCACGGGACUGCUUUGGAAACGGUGUAACUGGAGUACAGGAGGGGCAGGCGGAAUUCCUGGUGUAGCGGUGAAAUGCGUAGAUAUCAGGAGGAACACCGGCGGCGAAGGCGGCCUGCUGGACUGAAACUGACGUUGAGGCUCGAAAGCGUGGGGAGCAAACAGGAUGAGAUACCCCUGUAGUC